rnacentral:ncRNA from 1 species
CCACGUGCAUUGAACUUUCCCUGUAUACCUUACAACCUCAAAGACAUAAUACUGUUGGUAAGUGGUAACUUCCAAAUUCAGAUAAACCCUGGAAUUUAAAAGGGGGCAAUCCUGAGCCAAUUCUGUGUUUUAAGAAAACAAGCGGUUCUUGAACUAGAAUCCGAAGGAAAAGGAUAGAUGCAGAGACUCAAUGGAAGUUGGUUCUAACGAAUCGAGUUAAUUACGUUUUGUUGAUAGUGGAACUCCCUUCAAAUUAGAGAAAAAAGGG